rnacentral:rRNA from 1 species
GUAGGUGGCAAGCGUUGUCCGGAAUUAUUGGGCGUAAAGCGCGCGCAGGCGGUUCUUUAAGUCUGAUGUGAAAGCCCACGGGCUCAACCGUAGAGGGUCAUUGGAAACUGGAGAACUUGAGUACAGAAGAGGAAAGCGGAAUUCCACGUGUAGCGGUGAAAUGCGUAGAGAUGUGGAGGAACACCAGUGGCGAAGGCGGCUUUCUGGUCUGUAACUGACGCUGAGGCGCGAAAGCGUGGGGAGCAAACAGGAUUAGAUACCCUGGUAGUCCACGCCGUAAACGAUGAGUGCUAAGUGUUAGGGGGUUUCCGCCCCUUAGUGCUGCAGCUAACGCAUUAAGCACUCCGCCUGGGGAGUACGGCCGCAAGGCUG